UACGAAGGGGGCUAGAGUUGUUCGGCAUUACGGGGCGUAAAGCGCACGUAGGCGGAUUAGUAAGUCAGGGGUGAAAUCCCGGGGCUCAACCUCGUAACUGCCUUUGAUACUGCUGAUCUCGAGUCCGGAAGAGGUGAGUGUAAUUCCUAGUGUAGAGGUGAAAUUCGUAGAUAUUAGGAAGAACACCAGUGGAGAAGGCGGCGCACUGGUCCGGUACUGACGCUGAGGUGCGAAAGCGUGGGGAGCAAACAGG
rnacentral:rRNA from 1 species